CUGGCACCUGGGUCCGGGAGGGGAGGCGGGUCGGAGCCAGGAGGUGACCGCCUCCUGUGACCGCAGCUCAGCGGUGCCGGCGACUGUCCCUGGCGGGGUGAGGGGACCAUGACUCUGCUCCCGGGAGCUGCGUUCACUGCCCAGUGUGGGGAGUCCAAGUCCUGGGACGGCGAGCAUCAGGGGAUUGACAGUUGGUGAUGUUCUCCAGGCCUAGGACGCCUGGAGAACCUUUGGAAAGGCCACAUCUGUACCCCAGGUUUGAGAAGAGGCCCCAGAUUCAGCUACCCUUCCUGCAGGACAAGCUGAGCCCUGAUUAUUUCCCUGCCUGUGGCUGGCACUUUGUCAACAAGGCAGACAGGCCCCCCCUUUGAAAGUGGAGGAUGCUAAAGGCUGCUGGGUGGAGCCUGCUGUGGGCUGGUCUACAGCUGCCACCUUGACCUCUUAGCUGCAGCAGAAGUGGGGAGCCAGCCCUCACUAUGUGGAACAGACCACCCUGAGGGAGCUGAGGCUGAACAACCCCACUUUACCAGCUGCUGAGGAGAGGGAGCCAGCCCAUCCUGAUGGCACCCUCCCCUAUCCACCCCAACAGUGACACAGACACAUCCCAGGACCAGGGAAACCCAGGCUCCAGUCAGAAAAAAUAGCCUCUGCAGCCAGUCAUUACUGGGUAACCUCCAGGGUGGCAUGGGUGGGGGUCUCUUGUCUGGAGAGCUGGAGGAGUACCUGCUGGGGGAGGGCCUGCCAUCCUGGCCAUCACCACCACCACAAGUGACAUGCAGUGCCCUGGAACUGGGCAUAUCCAGUUCAAGCCAGGCCUUCCCUGUGACCUGGAACAAGCAAAGAAGAGGUCUGACUGCUCCCUCACCUGUGGAGUUCCCAAGCCCCAUCUGACUGGCUCUAGCUGCAUUGUCUCCCUGGCCCAUCUUGUGCUGACCUAGAGCCCCUCCUUAUCCCCUGAAAUUCCAUCUGGUCUUUUGCCUUCUAGCCAGGAUCAAGCUGAGAUGGGUUCACAAUGGCUGGGCUCCAGAUCCAGAGGGUCAGCUCCCUCCCUGCCUCUAUGUAAGAGCCAGGAGCACACAAAGGCUGCCCCCCUGGAGCUUCCCAAUGAUCCCUCCCUCUUUAGUGUGUGACUCCCAAAGUUUCCAGGCUCAGGCCUUCAGAGUGGCAAGUGGAGAAGUCUCCUGUGGCAGUGAUCCAGACACCCCUGCCAUCUCCCCCUGCCAUCUCCCCUUCACUCCCUGUGUCUCCAGAGGGAAAGGCCUCAGUAUGAAGGGGUCAUGACCACCAAAGGUCCCCAGGGCCUGCUGCUAAUUGGACUUCUCUGUGGAGGAUGCCUAUCUUAUCAGGCCCAAAAGGAAUGCCCUUGAGGAAAGGAAGAAGACUCUGGCUGACACCUGGAUGUGGCAGAGGCAGCAGCUAGUUAAGGCCUAGAAGUGAAACUUGGAGCAUUGUCCUGGUGUUUGUCAGUUACAAGAUUUUGUGGUUUUCUGACUGGGGUCCAACAAGCAGUGGUGGAAUGAGAUGGAUUCCAGGGCACUGUCACUUAGACAGGAAGGAAAGAGCAAAGGAUGGGCUGGGGGGAAGAGCUGUUGACAGUGACAUGACCCAGAGCUGGAUCCCCAGCACCUGAGAGGCCAGCCACCUUCCCAUCUCUUCCUUUCCUUCCUUUCUGUGUCUGAUUACAGCCUGACACAAGAAAAGUUACAUAAAUCUUGGUGGUCCUCAAAUACCUCCAUCAGCCCCUGGCCCAUGGAGUCAUGAGGCUCUCUGAUUUGGCCUAAGCUAAGUCAGGCUCUUAGGGGUGGGAUGCUUGCUCCUGAAAGAGGUGUAUUAUCCAGGCUCCAGAGGCAAAGCUGGCAUGGAUGGCAGCAGAACGCAUCCUCUCUGCUGCCCCAGAUUGGUCUUGACUGCCUCCUAGCAGGGCUGCAGCAUCUUUGUCAAGAACAUGCCCAUGGGAUCCUGGGUCAUCAUGUUGUUUAGAAUGUGGGGUCCUUGUUUCCUUUCCAAAGCUAAGAGUCUCUGGUUCUGCCCUUCCUGGUUGUGUGUGUCACGGAUUUUUGCAGUGGAUGGACAAGUGUUGCCUGCCUGCAUCCGGAGGUCCACACAGGAGCUUGGAGGCCCUGCUUCUGGACCCUGGAUCUCCUGGAUGAGGGAUUGAUACUGUAUAUAUGAAUACCUUUUCUGUACUGAUCUUGUUUGUGCAGACAGAUCUGUACAUGUGGUCGAAUGCAGGGAUUAUUCGUCCUUUUUUUCCCCAAACCCCAGAAUGUUCCCCAGUGGCUGGCCUGUAGUGACUGCUUUGUAAAUGCUCGUUUAUUUUAGAGGCAGCUGGCUGUCCCAGUGGCUAGAGUGCCAGACUUGGAUUCAGAGAGACCUGUCUCCAAAUCCUGCCUCAGUCAUGCAGUAGCCAUGUGACCCUGGACAAGCCUCUUAGGCUUUCUCACCUCUGCUUGCCCAUCUGUCAAAUGGGCAGAAGGAGAAGGCUAGCACCUCCCCCAUAGGGUCAUGUGACAUGCCAUAUGUAUAUUGCUUUGCAUACCUUAGACUGCUGUAUAAAUGCUAGCUACCAUGAUUAUCUUAACUGUUGCUGAACAGAAAUUCCCUCAGUUCUCUCCUGAGCCAGAGAAGCUCAGUAGACGCAGAUACCUCAAAAGGGUUUUCUUCCUUUCCCUCUGAAUCAUGUAGACUUGGUUCCAGAUGGGUCCCCAGAGGUGGGAGACUGAAGGGGCAGUGGCCCCCUCUCCUACCUGGCCUUCCCUGGCCAUGGCAUCAUGGCUCCUCUCCCCCCUGUUGUUAUUGUGUCUGACCUUUCCUUGUCUUCUACCCAGAAUCCCCUGGUGCAUUUGUCAAGGCCUGACAGUGAGUGGGACAGCUACCUGUUCUCAGCAACAGGGGCUGGGGUCAGGACAAGAUUCUGUGUCAGGCAGGGCGGCCGCCAGCUUGAUGCCUACAUGAGGAGUACUGUCCAUAUUCCAAUGAUGAAGUGUUCUCACACCAGGGUUUUUGGUCUUUCUCUUCUGCCCCGGGUGCCAGUAGGCCAGGAGGGUCUCUAACACUUUUUCCCAUUUCAUACUUAAGGUUUGUUUUUUUAUUGCCCUUACCUCCUCCUCUUAAUAUUUAAUUCAACAAGCCUUCAUUAAGUGCCUUUUCUGUGCCACUGCUAAUAACAGAAUAACAAGAGUCUUCCCCUUUUCCAAGGAGCUGGGACGUUAGUUUUGUUUUUGUUUUUUUCUCUCCAUUCACUCAUUACCUAUGUGGGAGAACCUGUAGGCUUGGUUCAUAGGUUUGAUCUAAACAGGUUCUUUUAGAACAUCUGGACUUUCAUUUUACAAAUGUGGACAUUGAGGCUCCAAGUGGGAAAUGCCUUUCUCAGGGUGAAGUGGGCCCGCACGUCUUCCACAGGUGAGAUUAGCACUACUACUUUCUAACACUGAAUACACUGAUUCACUGGACUACAAUGUGGCUUUCUACCCUGGGCUCUCAACCUCUGCCUCAGAUAAAUUAGCUCUUUCAUUACUAGAAAUUGAAGAGACUAAAGGUGGCCAUGAGUCACUAGAUAUCCUUCUUCAUCCCCUCUCUACUGGAAACAUCCCCUGCCAGCCCUACCGCCAAAUAGGGUUGGCAGCACUUCAUUCUCCAUUCCAGUCCAAUGUCUCCCCACCCCAGUGAAAUGGGUUGUAGAGAUAUAGCCAUUGGGCCUCUCUAUAGAGUGAUAAAAAUCCUCCUUUGGAGAGGAACCACCCAGGCUUCCUCAACCCUUUCACUCUUCCUGCCCUCCCUUAUUUUUAUUCCCUAAUGCCCGUCAUUGGGUCAAAAUGGCCCCUGGACCUCUUCUUUGAGGUUUUUUUUUUUGUUUUUAAGAAAUUGAGUAACUUCGAAUACACUUCCACCUUAAUGAUCGUAUGAUGCAACUUGCUUCAGACAUGUUACAGUGGGAUGUACAGAGCAUUGAUAGUCUCACCAGCUUUGUAGAACUUUAGGGGCCUGCUUCUAGCCAAAGGAGACUGAGGUGCUGUCAUUGGAAACCACUACUUUCCCACGACCUUGUAUUUUCUAUUUUUUGUGCUGACAUAUGGAAUCACUUACCACAAAACGUUUUUACUAUUUCUUUGUGUCCCCAGGAUGUAACACAUGGUUUGAAAAAGGGAAGACUUAAUAAUUGCUUGUUGAAAUUAAAGAUACCUCUACUUGUCUGCUGAGCCAAAUGGGUUCUGUAGACUCAGAUGGAAAUUAAUGUGCUAUUUUCCUUCCCCACUGUGAAUCAUGUAAAAUGGUUACAGCUUGGUCCCCAGUGUUAGGUGGGAAAAGGGCAAUUGUCCCAUGUCCCACUUGUCCUUCAUGCAGCCAUCAGUACGUGGUUGCUCUUGUACUUUCUUGACCUUAGGUAAAUGAGUAUACCCUUGUGCGUGUAUCUGGCUUGUAGGGUAGGCGUGUGCAUUCCCAAAGAUCUUGAGGUUACCUGAGGCCUGUGAAUGGGGCACCUGUCUUUUCCACAAAGUGACACUGUUACCUGGCCAGGAAAGCUUCGUUGGAGAAUAUGGUCCCUGGCAACAUGUCUCCAUGAAGCUUGUCCCUUGGACCAGGAGUAGUUGGACAGGGCCCAGCCAAGGUGAAGUAGAAAUGCCUGAUGGAUUGUCGUGUAAAACCACUUUCCCUUUGGCCUCCUCGUGGAUUGUAACUUGCUUUAUCCUGUUCCCUUGAGUGUGUGCAGUGAUUUUGUGUCUACACCUCUUUUCCGCCUUGUUUGGAAUAAAGGACUUGUUCCUCACCC